UCCUUCCGUUUCCGCUCUCUUUCCUUUUCUGCAGCGAUAGAAGGCCACGUUGAAGUGGACUCAUUUACCCUCCUUCAAAUUUGUUCAAAACCAAAUCAUGGCAAGGACGGUCCACAUAGUCCCCUGUUUAACUUUCAGAGGUUUUACCACUGCAGUAAAAGAAAAGAACCGAACAUAGCAGAGUGAGAGCAGAUGAAGAGCCCAUCAACGAACGUGAGGACGCUAAGCAGAAAUACAACAUGAAGUAAAAGUUUCAAAGACGGUCAAGUCUGAAUGAGGACCGCAUCCCUGGCUGGAUGUGAGGCACGUAACAUGCCGCAAAGGUUUAGAGGCACCGGUCUGAGUUGAGGACGCAUAUCACCCGACAGGAUCUGAAAGUUGGUGACAGUGUUCUUGGCGUCCUUCGAGACAUUCACACCACUGCUGAAUGUUAAAUAUAAACAGCGCGGGGGCUGUCUGCAGUCCCGCUUGUACACAGCAGGCUGCCGCAUUUAAUGCUUCAACACCCUGAACACCCCCUUCCCAGUUUUGUCUAAAUCGUUUGAGGAUCCUGAAAAGUGUGUUUUACAUAAAACGUUAAUUGUCAAAGGAA